CACCCAACAGCUAGCCCCCCUCCCCAAAUACAACAAGACAACAUAAAUAAACCCAAACACACCAAACAACGAAAAACAAACCAUUUUUCCCCCUUAGUAUGGGCGACAGAAAAGGAC
rnacentral:rRNA from 1 species